GGAGAAAAGCAGGGGAUCGUAAGACCUUGCGCUUUUGGAGCGGCCGAUGUCUGAUUAGCUAGUUGGUGGGGUAAUGGCCUACCAAAGCUUCGAUCAGUAGCUGGUCUGAGAGGACGGCCAGCCACACUGGGACUGAGACACGGCCCAGACUCCUACGGGAGGCAGCAGUGGGGAAUUUUGGACAAUGGGCGCAAGCCUGAUCCAGCCAUGCCGCGUGAGUGAAGAAGGCCUUCGGGUUGUAAAGCUCUUUCAGCCGGGAAGAAAAGGCUGCGGUUAAUAAUCGCAGUUCAUGACGGUACCGGAAGAAGAAGCACCGGCUAACUACGUGCCAGCAGCCGCGGUAAUACGUAGGGUGCGAGCGUUAAUCGGAAUUACUGGGCGUAAAGGGUGCGCAGGCGGUUUUGUAAGUCAGAUGUGA
rnacentral:rRNA from 1 species